GACGAACGCUGGCGGCGCGCUUAACACAUGCAAGUCGAGCGAAGCGGCGGACGGGUGAGUAACACGUGAGUAACCUGCCUUAGACAUUGGGAUAGCCUCGGGAAACCGGGAUUAAUACCAAAUGGUCUAAGAUGGACUCGCGGCCCAUUAGCGAGUUGGUGAGGUAACGGCCCACCAAGGCGACGAUGGGUAGCCGGCCUGAUAGGGUGAACGGCCACAUUAGAACUGGGAAACGGUCGAAACACCACGGGAGGCAGCAGUGGGGAAGAUUGCACAAUGGGUGGAACUCUGAUGCAGCGACGCCGCGUAAACGAAGAAGGCUUUCGAGUCGUAAAGUUCUUUUAUAUGGGAAGCGGUACCAUAAGAAAAAGCCCCGGCUAACUACGGGCCAGCCGCCGCGGUAAUA
rnacentral:rRNA from 1 species